AGACCCGAAACCCGGUGAUCUAGCCAUGGGCAGGUUGAAGGUUGGGUAACACUAACUGGAGGACCGAACCGACUAAUGUUGAAAAAUUAGCGGAUGACCUGUGGCUGGGGGUGAAAGGCCAAUCAAACCGGGAGAUAGCUGGUUCUCCCCGAAAGCUAUUUAGGUAGCGCCUCGUGAACUCAUCUCCGGGGGUAGAGCACUGUUUCGGCUAGGGGGCCAUCCCGGCUUACCAACCCGAUGCAAACUGCGAAUACCGGAGAAUGUUAUCACGGGAGACACACGGCGGGUGCUAACGUCCGUCGUGAAGAGGGAAACAACCCAGACCGCCAGCUAAGGUCCCAAAGUCAUGGUUAAGUGGGAAACGAUGUGGGAAGGCCCAGACAGCCAGGAUGUUGGCUUAGAAGCAGCCAUCAUUUAAAGAAAGCGUAAUAGCUCACUGGUCGAGUCGGCCUGCGCGGAAGAUGUAACGGGGCUAAACCAUGCACCGAAGCUGCGGCAGCGACACUCAGGUGUUGUUGGGUAGGGGAGCGUUCUGUAAGCCUGCGAAGGUGGCCUGUGAGGGUUGCUGGAGGUAUCAGAAGUGCGAAUGCUGACAUAAGUAACGAUAAAGCGGGUGAAAAGCCCGCUCGCCGGAAGACCAAGGGUUCCUGUCCAACGUUAAUCGGGGCAGGGUGAGUCGACCCCUAAGGCGAGGCCGAAAGGCGUAGUCGAUGGGAAACGGGUUAAUAUUCCCGUACUUGGUGUUACUGCGAAGGGGGGACGGAGAAGGCUAUGUUGGCCGGGCGACGGUU
rnacentral:rRNA from 1 species